AGGCCUGCAGCUUGCUGCGGGUACUCGAGUGGCGAACGGGUGAGUAACACGUGGGUGAUCUGCCUUGCACUUCGGGAUAAGCUUGGGAAACUGGGUCUAAUACCGGAUAGGACAGCUGUUUAGUGUCAGUUGUGGAAAGUUUUUUCGGUGCAAGAUGAGCUCGCGGCCUAUCAGCUUGUUGGUGGGGUAAUGGCCUACCAAGGCGUCGACGGGUAGCCGGCCUGAGAGGGUGUACGGCCACAUUGGGACUGAGAUACGGCCCAGACUCCUACGGGAGGCAGCAGUGGGGAAUAUUGCACAAUGGGCGGAAGCCUGAUGCAGCGACGCCGCGUGGGGGAUGAAGGCCUUCGGGUUGUAAACUCCUUUCGACAGGGACGAAGCGUAAGUGACGGUACCUGUAUAAGAAGCACCGGCUAACUACGUGCCAGCAGCCGCGGUAAUACGUAGGGUGCGAGCGUUGUCCUGAAUUACUGGGCGUAAAGAGCUCGUAGGUGGUUUGUCGCGUCGUCUGUGAAAUUCCGGGGCUUAACUCCGGGCGUGCAGGCGAUACGGGCUGACUUGAGUGCUGUAGGGGAGACUGGAAUUCCUGGUGUAGCGGUGAAAUGCGCAGAUAUCAGGAGGAACACCGAUGGCGAAGGCAGGUCUCUGGGCAGUAACUGACGCUGAGGAGCGAAAGCAUGGGUAGCGAACAGGAUUAGAUACCCUGGUAGUCCAUGCCGUAAACGGUGGGCGCUAGGUGUAGGGGGCUUCCACGUCUUCUGUGCCGUAGCUAACGCAUUAAGCGCCCCGCCUGGGGAGUACGGCCGCAAGGCUA
rnacentral:rRNA from 1 species